CAAACUGGAGAUGGCGACCGGCGCACGGGUGAGUAACACGUAUCCAACCUGCCGAUAACUCGGGGAUAGCCUUUCGAAAGAAAGAUUAAUACCCGAUAGCAUAUAUUUCCCGCAUGGGUUUUAUAUUAAAGAAAUUCGGUAUGAGAUGGGGAUGCGUUCCAUUAGUUUGUUGGGGGGUAACGGCCCACCAAGACUACGAUGGAUAGGGGUUCUGAGAGGAAGGUCCCCCACACUGGUACUGAGACACGGACCAG
rnacentral:rRNA from 1 species